GGAAGGCGAUGUGUGGAUAAGAGGCGUGACUUCCUUACUUGUCAGACUGCGAAGUUUAUGAAGUACUCGCCGUGAAUAUAUUUAAUGUGCAGUUAAUGCAAAUUUGGAUUAUAUCUUGAGAAAAAGUUAAACCGAAGAGGGUGUAACCAUGUGGAGUAAACUGAAGGCUUUACGGAGAAACAGGACUGUGAAUUACGGCAUUCCAAUGCUCUUGCUUGUUGUAGGGGGAUCGGUUGGACUCCGAGAAUUCACACAGAUUAGGUACGACGACCAGAAGAACAGGAGAAAGCUGGACCCAGCACUGGAGGCCAAACUGAAUACCCAGAAACAGCCUUUCAGCUUGGAGCAGGAAUAUGAGAAACUGAAGGACAUCAACCUUGACAAGUGGAAGAACAUCCGAGGUCCCCGACCAUGGGAGCACUCCCGAGAAUACCAGGAGCAGCAGCAGCGGGAGCAAGAGCAAGCACAGCAGCAGAAGGGACUAUAGAAGGGCCUAACACAGGAGCUAAGGCUUUACAGCUGGACAGAUCCACCGGGGGGAAUGGGAAAUAGAAAACAUGACUGCUCUCCUUGCUGUUCCUUCAGUCCAAGGAAAACAUCCUUGUCACUGUGGACACCUUAAGGUAGUGCAAGUUGCUACCUGACUGCACAUUCAUUAACAAGUCACCCUGACAAAGUCCCCCUGAAUCCAUGAUUAUGAGAAAAAUCAUAAUAAACGAGUGAAGAAAUUGUAUUCUUGAUCUAGCAAUGUGUACAGAAUAAUAAACAUGUAAUUACAUUACCUUUA